GCGGCCUAAGAAUCAUCACCGGUGCUCGAAUAAACCAUUUGGAAGGCUUGAAUCAUAAAUAAAGUUGACUCGGUAAUACCAGCACAGUAAACCAAAUUUCGGAGUAGUGUCAAAUAGGAAUAAGGUUAUCCAUGCCUUCAUUGGUUUAGGAAAACCUGAGCUUUUCGAUGAGAUUUUUAGUUUGCAUGUUGCAUGAACAGUCAAUUUAGAGUGAAUAAAAAUAUGAUAAGUAUUUCACAAAGGUGCGGACUACUUAUUAGAUGAUUACUCUUGUGGACGAUACGUCCACCAACAGUGAUUGCAAAAACUCGUUUUAGAUAUCAGGCUUAUAAUUUUGGUACAUUAAGGCAACAGCGGUAUGCCUCUGUUCGAAAGCUAUUAUAUACAUUUUUAAACUAACGGCGGCAUUAGCUUACAAAACGCAGGUUAGAAUUAUGGAUUUAUCGAAGCAAUGAGUUGUGUUUAUCACACAAAAAGGCAUAAUAAAGUAUAUUAAGGUGAAGAACGCCAAGUACUCAAAAUUCCAAAAGGGCUUUGUCAAAUACAGUUAAUUUAAAGGUAAUAUAUUCCUGUGGUAUAAAAUCCUAAGGAGCCGCCGUGGUGUAGUGGUUAGUGCAUCGGACUACUAACACAAAGGUUCCUGGUUCGAUUUCCGUCUUGGAUGAAAAUUUCAGGGACUGAAUUUUCGGCGCUCCUUUGACACCAUUUGCGAGUAUGGUCUUGUGGAAACGAUGCUAGUCCGUCGGAAGGGGACGAUAAAUUGCUGACCGGUGUUAAGAGAGAGCCAUAUCUCUUGCACGUUAAAGACACCUUUGUUGAUUUCGACAAAGAGCAGGCUAAUGCCGCUACAAGGCAGCACUCGCACCCGCAAAGUGGAAAGGGAUUAAUAUAAGUUGCAAAACUUGUUUCCCAAUCCACUAUAAUUAAAUAUGUUUAAACUAAAUCCUAAGUAUUUAAAAAAA
rnacentral:lncRNA from 1 species